CCAGACUCCUACGGGAGGCAGCAGUGAGGAAUAUUGGUCAAUGGGCGGAAGCCUGAACCAGCCAAGUCGCGUGAGGGAAUAAGGCCCUACGGGUUGUAAACCUCUUUUGCCGGGGAGCAAAGAGCGGGACGCGUCCCGCCUCGAGAGUACCCGGAGAAAAAGCAUCGGCUAACUCCGUGCCAGCAGCCGCGGUAAUACGGAGGAUGCGAGCGUUAUCCGGAUUUAUUGAGUUUAAAGGGUGCGUAGGCGGAAUAUCAAGUCAGCGGUAAAAAUUCGGGGCUCAACCCCGUCGUGCCGUUGAAACUGAUGUUCUUGAGUGGGCGAGAAGUAUGCGGAAUGCGUGGUGUAGCGGUGAAAUGCAUAGAUAUCACGCAGAACUCCGAUUGCGAAGGCAGCAUACCGGCGCCCAACUGACGCUGAAGCACGAAAGCGUGGGUAUCGAACAGGAUUAGAUACCCGAGUAGA
rnacentral:rRNA from 1 species